GAAAUGCGAUAAGUAGUGUGAAUUGCAGAAUUCAGUGAAUCAUCGAAUCUUUGAACGCACAUUGCGCCCUUUGGUAUUCCUUAGGGCAUGCCUGUUCGAGCGUCAUCUAAACCUUCAAGCCCUGCUUGGUGUUGGGUGCCUGUCCCGCCUCCGCGCGCGGACUCACCUCAAAUCCAUUGGCGGCCCCCGCGUCGACCACGAGCGCAGCAGAAACGCGAACUCGUGAGCCCGUCCGGGCGGCUCCCAGAAGCUACACCCACCCAGUUUGACCUCGGAUCAGGUAGGGAUACCCGCUGAACUUAAGC
rnacentral:misc_RNA from 1 species